UACGAAGGGGGCUAGCGUUGUUCGGAAUGACUGGGCGUAAAGGGCGCGUAGGCGGCUUGUUUAGUCGGAUGUGAAAUUCCUGGGCUUAACCUGGGGGCUGCAUACGAGACGUAUGGGCUUGAGUGCGGAAGAGGGUCGUGGAAUUCCCAGUGUAGAGGUGAAAUUCGUAGAUAUUGGGAAGAACACCGGUGGCGAAGGCGGCGACCUGGUCCGUGACUGACGCUGAGGCGCGAAAGCGUGGGGAGCAAACAGG
rnacentral:rRNA from 1 species